GAUGAACGCUGGCGGCGUGCCUAAUACAUGCAAGUCGAGCGAACGGACGAGAAGCUUGCUUCUCUGAUGUUAGCGGCGGACGGGUGAGUAACACGUGGAUAACCUACCUAUAAGACUGGGAUAACUUCGGGAAACCGGAGCUAAUACCGGAUAAUAUUAUGAACCGCAUGGUUCAAAAGUGAAAGACGGUCUUGCUGUCACUUAUAGAUGGAUCCGCGCUGCAUUAGCUAGUUGGUAAGGUAACGGCUUACCAAGGCAACGAUGCAUAGCCGACGUGUGAGGGGGAUAGGCCACCCUGGAGCGGGAACGCGGUCAAGACUCCUAAGAGAGGCAGCAGUAGGGAAUCUUACGCAACGGGCGAAAGCCUGACGGAGCAACGGCGCGUGAGUGAUGAAGGUGUUCGGAUCGUAAAAAUCUGUUAUUAGGGAAAAACAUAUGUGUAAGUAACUGUGCACAUCUUGACGGUACCUAAUCAGAAAGCCACGGCUAACUACGUG
rnacentral:rRNA from 1 species